UCUCUCUCUCUCUCUCUCUCUCUUGCUUUUGUCUCCAUCCCCGUUGGUACAGGAGCACCAUCGGUGUCGACGCCCAUCACACAUGAGGACCAUCGCAAACCAACAGCCUAUAUCAUCUUAUCUCGUAGUCACGAUCCAUCAUUGGGGCACUAGCCAAGAGCUUCUCAAAUACUGUUGAAGAGAAGGCAAAAUGGAUCUUCCACAAGCUAAAAGCUCCUCUCCAUCAGAUGCAACAGUAUUAUAGGCAGCUUUGUGUCCCUGAUAACUGUUCCAGAAAAUGGAAUGCUCUUGUUCAUUGCUUAACUUUGGAGGCAAAACGAACUUCUGUAGUGGAGAUCCCACAUAUAUAUCCCACAAAACUCUAUCAUACCAAUUUGACACACACAGAUACAGACUGGGCUAGUGUUGGUAUAUAAUGGUGGCCAAAGCCAAGGGGGAAAAAAAAAGAAAAAAGAAGAAAAACUAGCAGACAUAUCGGUGAGUACCUCCUUGUAGUGCCUCAUGUGCUAACUGAUUUGCACACUCUUUUGCUUCUCUAGGAAAAUAUGCUGGAUUUUACAGUCUCUUUCCUUCACA